UCCCUCCCCGCCCUCCCUCUCCUUCCCUUCCCCUCCUCUCCCUUCCCUUCCCCGCGCCCUGGCUCGGCGCCCGCCGGCCCCGCGGUGAGUGGGGGGGGGGUUGGGGGGGCCGGCCCGGGGGGCGCCGUCGGGGCCCCCCCCUGACCGGCGCCGCGCUCCGCUCCGCCCGCAGCUGGACGCCAAGAAGAGCCCGCUGGCGCUGCUGGCCCAGACCUGCUCGCAGAUCGGCAAGCCCGACCCGCCGCCCUCCUCCAAGCUCAACGCCGUGGCCGCCGCCGGGCUGCCCGCCGCCGACAAGGAGCCCGCCGCCCGCCCCGCCGCGCUCAAGCCGCCGGGGGGGGACGCGCCCCCCGAGGACAAGUCCAGCUUCAAGCCCUACUCCAAGGGCGGCGCGGAGCCGCGCAAGGAGGGCGGCGCGGACAAGGCCGGCUUUCGGGUGCCCAGCGCCGCCUGCCCGCCGUUCCCCCCGCACGCCGCCGCCGCCUCGCCCGGCGGCUCCCGCGGCGCCUCCCCGCAGCACGCCGAGCCCAAGGGCGCCGAGGAGAAGAAGGAGCCCGAGGCGGCCAAGCCCAGCCCCGACGGGGCGGGCGGCGCGCUGGGGCGCGGGGCGGCCGAGCCCGGGGCGCACGGCGAGCCCCCCUCGGGCCGCAAGUCGGAGCCGCCCGCCCUGCCGCCCGCCGGCCAUGUGGCCCCCGUGUCGCCCUACAAGCCCGGCCACUCCGUCUUCCCCCUGCCGCCCUCCAGCAUCGGCUACCACGGCUCCAUCGUGGGCGCCUACGCCGGCUACCCCUCCCAGUUCGUGCCCGGGCUGGACCCCACCAAGCCGGGCCUGGUGGGCGGCCAGCUGCCGGGCGCCCUGGGGCUGCCGGGGAAGCCGCCCAGCUCCAGCCCGCUCACCGGGGCCUCGCCGCCCUCCUUCAUGCAGGGAUUAUGCCGGGACCCGUACUGCCUGAGCUACCACAGCGCCUCGCACCUGGGCUCCAGCAACUGCUCCAGCUGCGUGCACGACCCCGGCAGCCUGAAGAGCGGAUACCCCUUGGUGUACCCCACGCACCCCCUGCACUCGGUGCACACCACGCUCUCCUCCAGCGGCACCGCCAGCCUGCCCGGCCACCCCCUCUACACCUACGGCUUCAUGCUGCAGAACGACCCCCUGCCCCACAUAUGCAACUGGGUGUCUGCCAGCGGACCCUGCGACAAGAGGUUUGCCACCUCGGAGGAGCUGCUCACCCACCUACGGACCCACACGGCCCUGCCGGGGGCGGAGAAACUCUUGGCGGGUUACCCUACCUCCGGGCUGGGCUCCGCGGCCUCCUGCCACCUCCACCUCCCGCCCGCCGCCCCCGGGAGCCCCAACACGUUACCGGCCUCCCUGUCCUUGAGGAGCCCACACACUUUGGGACUAAACAGGUACCACCCGUACGGCAAGAGCCAUUUGCCCACAGCCGGCGCCCUGCCGGUGCCGUCCUUGCCGGCCGCCGGACCUUACUACUCCCCGUACGCGCUCUACGGCCAAAGACUAACUUCAGCUUCUGCACUCGGAUACCAGUAACUACGGCAGCCCCUUCCCCUCCUCCGGUCUCCUCCUUGCCCGAGCUCCCCGCUCCCUCCUUGGACUGUGUAUUUAUUUACUGUAUGUUAGCUUAAAGCUGGGAAUAUAAGUGCAUUAAUCCACCAAUGAAUCAAUGGUAUGCAAAAAGUCUGUGUCCAAAAAAAAAAAAAAAAAGAAAAAAAGAAAAAAAAAAAUCUUUACUUUGCAGGUGUGGGGCUUUUAUUUUUCCCUUCUGUUUCUUUUGAUUUUUUUUUUUNNNNNNNNNNNNNNNNNNNNNNNNNNNNNNNNNNNNNNNNNNNN
rnacentral:lncRNA from 1 species